AGUGAACGCUGGCGGUAGGCCUAACACAUGCAAGUCGAACGGCAGCACAGUAAGAGCUUGCUCUUACGGGUGGCGAGUGGCGGACGGGUGAGGAAUACAUCGGAAUCUACUUUUUCGUGGGGGAUAACGUAGGGAAACUUACGCUAAUACCGCAUACGACCUACGGGUGAAAGCAGGGGAUCUUCGGACCUUGCGCGAUUGAAUGAGCCGAUGUCGGAUUAGCUAGUUGGCGGGGUAAAGGCCCACCAAGGCGACGAUCCGUAGCUGGUCUGAGAGGAUGAUCAGCCACACUGGAACUGAGACACGGUCCAGACUCCUACGGGAGGCAGCAGUGGGGAAUAUUGGACAAUGGGGGAAAGCCUGAUCCAGCCAUACUGCGUGGGUGAAGAAGGCCUUCGGGUUGUAAAGCCCUUUUGUUGGGAAAGAAAAGCAGCAGGUUAAUACCACGCUGUUCUGACGGUACCCAAAGAAUAAGCACCGGCUAACUUCGUG
rnacentral:rRNA from 1 species